UCAUGUCUUCUUUUCUCAUCCACCUCUGCUUUUGCUCCACCACCAAUAUGAUCGAUCCUUGAUAUCUUGGUCUGGUAAAGUUGUUGGUUUAUUUUUAUUCUCCGCUCCAAUUCUUUCUGCACAUUUUUAUGGCAUUUGUUAAGUCAAUUCGAAAAUACAGGCACAUAUCCCACAGAAUUUUGAAACAUCAUAUCUUAGUAGCUAUAUCCUAAUACAAGGAUCGGAGCAAUAUAGUUAUCAUCACCUUUCUCUUGUCCAUUUUAACUUUGGCUCGCAGCUUUUUUUCAUUCUCCCAUGCAAGAAUUGAUGCUUUCAUGUUCUCACACCUGCGCCUUUGCAUAUUAGCAUCACCAUAUAUUUUACAAAUAUUCAUGCUUUAAAUAUUCUUAUAGGGGUUGUUUCAAAUUUUCAUUUCUUUUUGAGAUUAUGAUAAUGUUGAGGCCUGAGGGUGUUGUCUCUGAAUCUAAAACCUAAUGAUUACCGUUUGUUAAGUUUCUCCAUCUCAGCUUUCUCCCAAGCAAUCUGCUUUGGUUUCACCGACAUUGAGUUGGGAAGAGUUUCCCUUCCGGCUUCGGUCCCCGGCUUCCAUGAUCACCGGCCUACCAGAGGAUGAACCGCCCUUUUUGCUUCUGGGUAAACUGCUCUCUUGGCUCCUAUUAUCCUUUUCCAUUAGCUUUCUGCUUGAAGUUUCACCUUAAGAACAUAAAACAGGAUUUCAUUGUUCUUCUCUGACAAAAGAUCUCUCAGAAACUAUUAUAUGCAGUUUCUUGGUAUAUGCUAUUCGGAUUAUGCUGUAUGUAUUAGCACACAUAUAUUUAGUUUUUUCAAUGUUUUCUUACAUGUAGAGGAUCGUUGAGGAAUCAUAUUCGGAUAUAGUACGACAUGGGUGUAUUAAGAAUCGGAGCAAAAUUCGUUACCUGCAGUUUCGAUUUCCUUGCUGG
rnacentral:lncRNA from 1 species